rnacentral:rRNA from 1 species
UCUCGGGAGGCAGCAGUGGGGAAUAUUGGACAAUGGGCGAAAGCCUGAUCCAGCCAUGCCGCGUGUGUGAAGAAGGCCUUCGGGUUGUAAAGCACUUUCAGUGGGGAAGAAAGCCUUGGGGCUAAUACCCUCGAGGAAGGACAUCACCCACAGAAGAAGCACCGGCUAACUCCGUGCCAGCAGCCGCGGUAAUACGGAGGGUGCGAGCGUUAAUCGGAAUUACUGGGCGUAAAGCGCGCGUAGGCGGUCUGAUAAGCCGGUUGUGAAAGCCCCGGGCUCAACCUGGGAACGGCAUCCGGAACUGUCAGGCUAGAGUGCAGGAGAGGAAGGUAGAAUUCCCGGUGUAGCGGUGAAAUGCGUAGAGAUCGGGAGGAAUACCAGUGGCGAAGGCGGCCUUCUGGACUGACACUGACGCUGAGGUGCGAAAGCGUGGGUAGCAAACAGGAUUAGAUACCCUAGUAGUC